rnacentral:rRNA from 1 species
AGAGCGAACGCUGGCGGCAGGCCUAACACAUGCAAGUCGAGCGCCCGUAGCAAUACGGGAGCGGCAGACGGGAUAGUAACACGUGGGAACGCGCCCUUCGGUUCGGAAUAACUCAGGGAAACUUGAGCUAAUACCGGAUACGCCCUUACGGGGAAAGAUUUAUUGCCGAAGGAACGGCCCGCGUCCGAUUAGCUAGUUGGUGAGGUAAUGGCUCACCAAGGCGACGAUCGGUAGCUGGUCUGAGAGGAUGACCAGCAUCACUGGGACUGAGACACGGCCCAGACUCCUACGGGAGGCAGCAGUGGGGAAUAUGGACAAUGGCGCAAGCCUGAUCCAGCCAUGCCGCGUGGAUGAUGAAGGCCUUAGGGUUGUAAAGUCCGUUUUAACGGGGAAGAUAAUGACGGUACCCGUAGAAUAAGCCCCGGCUAACUUCGUGCCAGCAGCCGC